CGGGGUGGCUGGCGGUCUCCCAUGUGCCUUCUCCCUCGCUGGUGGCCACGACCAGCGGUGCACUCUGGUGGUCGCUGAAGUGCGCGGGCAUGCCGGCUGCCGUUCUCUGUGUUCCUCUUUUGAAAUUUCCGUGUCACUGUAAUCAGGGAGUUCACUCCUAGGUAGAGCAGAUUAGCCCAUAGACCAGUGCAGUUCGCUCCUCUCCAUUACCCCUCCCCAUGGACGGAAGCAGCACACAUCGACGCACCAUGCUCACCGUUCUCCCUUUGCAGCUCACUUCGGUGCUCUCUGCAGUUUGUGGCGUGCUCGGAUGCAGUGCAACAGGCAACUGAAUGGUUUGUAGCUCACUCUGGCGCUCUCUGCAGUUUGUGGCGUGCUCGGAUGCAGUGCAGCAGGCACAUGCGUGCAGUCCACCAGCGUGGUCGGAGUGUUCCUUCUGUUCUUUCAAUUUUUGUUUUCCGCAGUUCGGAGGCAAAGACGUUGCAGUGCAGCCCGCGGGACGACAGACGCAAAAUUUUGCAUUCCGUUGCGGGCGUCUGCUACCACGAUUCACUUCUUUAUAUUGUAUAGACAAAACUUGUUGAAAAUCAUUGCAGUUCAUUGUGGGGUCCCGGUGGUUCUCUUUGUACAAAAACAACAAUGUUUGCAUAUUUGAAGUGGCUUGGUAGUUUGCUAGUUAAAAAGCGAUGUGACGCAGCUCACUGUGAAUUGCUAAGUGGUCCACUUAGUAAGAAUAUAAAUUUUGAUGCAACUCAUUAACAUUGACGAUGUAGUCGAGGUAAAUUUCAAAGAAGUUUAAAAAAGACAAAACCACACUGCCUUAGAAGUUUCACUUUUCCCCUUAGACUCUGUAGCAAACCACUUUUCCAC
rnacentral:lncRNA from 1 species